GGAAGGGCCACCAAACAUUUCUUAGGCGAAGGAUAAUUUAUUUUGAUAUUAACUACCUUCAUGUUAGGCGCAGUUUAAUUAUGCUAGAUUAAAAAAAAAAAUUAUAUUUAAAGGGCACUUUCUUUAAAAGGUGGGGGGGUCGACCGCACCCAUCGACCCCCCAUGGUACGCCCCUGCUUUCCAUAAACUCUGUUUCUUCAGCCCCCCACCCCCAAAUGUCCAUGAUUUUGUUAUAUUAAAGAGAAACCACUUGUAAAUAAAAGACUUCUUUCGAUCAUUAUACAGUCUAAUAUUGUUUUAAUAGGGUUAUAUCACAGAUCGUGCACAUAAAGGUCAUUUCAAACCAGCAAUACUUAGACAAUAAUUUGACCAAUUUUGCAGAGAGCAUUUCACUUAAUUCUGCAGCAUGAGCAUUGGUUUCAAGUACUUAUUGCAGUGUGAAACAGCAUUUACAGAAUAGAAAAUCAUUUGCUUUUAUAUGGCAGCCAAUUCCAGCAGUCCAUACCAAGCUUGUUUUUUGCUGUACCUACACUGUGCCUUUUUGUCUUUUUAUCAGGCAUUAACACAAAGAAACAUGUACAAAUAGGCAAGAAUAGCAAUUUUUGGACCAGUCCUCUAACUUUCAUCUGAUAUUGAAUGCGCAAAGUUACCAAUACAAGUUUUAUACAUAUUCCACUGUAUGUGCAAUAUCAACAAUAAACUAUCCUAUUGUGGGAGGCACAGUGGUAAACCAAAGAAGUAGUAAAAUAUUUUGAUAAUUUUUUUUUUUUUUUGUCUUUUGUGGGGUUAUCCCACUUUUAUUACUUCUCACAUUUCAUCACUACAUAAUUACAAUUACAAGGUUUUAUGUGGUAAUUUUAUUUUGAUAAUUUAUUAUUACAAUGAAAGCAUGUGAUUUGUAUCAUGUUUUUGCACAGUACAUAAAUCAUAGUUUUUUUGCAGAACGUAUUAACCUAUCAGUACAGGUAAAGAGUAAUCAAUAAAAGUAAACAAUCAGUAAUUCUUAAUAUCUAAUACCAUAUUGUCCAAUUUAAAAGUAAAAAAAAAUAUUAAGUUUGACUUUGUUUACUGGUCUAGGCAUCAAUACAAAUUUGUUUCUUGACAAAUGAUACCUUGUCUUUCAAAAAUAAUUGAAUGUUGUAUAUGUUACCAAUAUUUUUUCUUGAUUGAAGUGCAAUGUUAAUGCCCAAUUAUUAUUAUUUUUUUAAUAUUGAAAUUUGACACAAAUGCCACUAUAACAAAACCUGGUUUACAAUUAAUAGCAGAGCUCGAAAAUAUUCUUACACUUUUAUUUUGCUGCCUCUACAUACAGGCAUUUUCCUUUGUAGAAAAGUAACAGUUUGUCAUUACUAUCUAUGAAUGUACUGUAGGAAUAUAAAGAAUGCUGUAUGAGUUAAGUUGAGACUUUUAAAUUGUUUUGUAAACUUUGUUAAAGAUCAUCAAAGUGCGGGUAAAAACAAAAAUGAACAUUUUUUUUCGUAUUCGCAAGUGGUUUUUUGCCAAACAUAUCCAGACAGAGAAAAUACAAAUAAAAAUUAUUGGUGAAUGUAAACAGUGUAGUAUUGGAAUGGUUAAAUGAUUUAAUUUUGUAUAUUUAGGAGGAAAUAUACAUAUUUUGUAUUUUGAGAUUUCAAGGCAGUGGUAGGCAUGAUAACAAAUUUUAAAAACACCUAUGUUUAUUUCUGGAAUUCCCAUUUUUCGUGGCAGCAGGUGUGCUAAUUGAACAAAAAGAAAAAUUUCUUUUCAUUUGACGUCAGUUUGUGCGAGAGAUGGGUUUGCGAAACAAGGUAUAAAAAGUCUUGCCUAGUUGAAGUAAAAUUACAAGAAGGCCGCUGCAAUCAGGUUAAUCCUUGGGUCUUCACCUCCUGAAAAAUUCAUUUACAUUUCUUAUGUCUAAAUUUCAUUUUAUAAUAUUUUAGUUUGCAGCCAAAAUAAAUGACAUUAUUCACCAUCUCUGUUUUUCAUAUGUUUCCACUAUAGACCUAACACAUCUACAUGCGUUUAGGGCCCUGUAGGAGCCCUAGUGGGUUAAAAAAAAUGGAGCAUGUGGGGUAAACCUAUUACUUCUUUUUAUUAAAUGUUUUCCUCAAAUACAUGUCAUCUGACUUAUAAAUAUCACUGUGCCAAGAAUACUACAGUGUCACAAAAGGAGUUCAACUUGGCACCAUUUUCUCCACUGACAAACCAUUCAUCCCAAUUUUCAAUGUAAUGAUAAGAUAUUGCAUCCUCGAUUUUCUUUGUAAAUUUUAGUUGAUGAUUAAAAUAAAUGUGUGUUCGAUAACUAA
rnacentral:lncRNA from 1 species